GCCCGCGUGGCUCAGUGGUGGAGCAUCAAGCUAUGAACCAGGAAGUCACGGUUUGAUUCCGGGUCAGGGCA
rnacentral:tRNA from 1 species